rnacentral:rRNA from 1 species
UACGUAGGGUGCAAGCGUUGUUCGGAAUUAUUGGGCGUAAAGAGCUCGUAGGCGGUUUGUUGCGUCGGCUGUGAAAUCCCGAGGCUCAACCUCGGGUCUGCAGUCGAUACGAGCAAACUAGAGUGUUGCAGGGGAGACUGGAAUUCCUGGUGUAGCGGUGAAAUGCGCAGAUAUCAGGAGGAACACCGGUGGCGAAGGCGGGUCUCUGGGCAACAACUGACGCUGAGGAGCGAAAGCGUGGGGAUCAAACAGG